rnacentral:lncRNA from 1 species
GUUGCCCAACCUACCCAACCUACCCACUAUCCCUAUUAUACAUUUAGGGGAUUUAACCCCCCCCCCUGCCCCCCACCCCCCCACCCCCCCCGUACCUCUUCCGUACCUUUUCGUCCCUUUACUUCUACCUUUGCUUCCAUUACUUUUGUUCCCCCAUUAUUUCCUCUUGUGUUUUCAUCUUUUGUUCUGCUCUUCCCUUUUCCGAUCCCUUCGACAAUCUUUCUGUUGCAGCUAUUGACCAACUCAUGAAGGAGUAUUUUGAUCUCUUUGAAUUUGACCUAUCAUCUAGGGCCAAGAUUACCACACGUCAUCCGAUUCCAGCCGGGGAUGCUCGUCAAAUCAAGAUUCCUGUUCAUCGUCGGUCACACAAGGAGAUCAAAAUUUUAUGUAUAAACGUCAAGGAGAUGUUGGAAAAGGGUGUUAUUCAGAAGUCGCAGAGUCCUUGGGUAUGUGAACCUCAUCUUGUGACGAAACCUGAUGGGAGUAUUUGUUUCUGCAUCGACUAUCAUCCGUUAAAUGAAGUGACGAUUCCAGAUGUGUACCCUCUUCCCCACACUGCUGAUCUCUUGGAUUAUCUGGGGUGAAGUUGUUGGUUCACCAAACUAGAUCUUGCUUCUAGGUACUGGCAAGUACCGAUGGCCGAGGAAGAUAUUCCUAAGACUGCUUUUCAUACACCGUUUGGUUUGUAUGAAUUCUUGGUGAUGCCAUUUGGUUUGAACAAUGCUCCAACAACUUUUCAGUGGAUGCUGGAUAAGGUUCUUUGUGAUAUACCAGAGGUGACUGCUGACUUCAUUGAUGAUGUCUUGAUUCAUUCAGAGGGGACGUGGGAGGAGCACAUUCGUGAUAUGUGUAAAGUGUUGGAUUAGCUAUGGAAUGUUGGUUUAAAGCUGAAACGGUCGAAGUGCGUGUUUGGGUCCAAGGACACAACUUAUCUUGGGUACUGACUUGAACUCAGAUUUGGACUCGGACUCAGACUCAGACUUGGACUUGGACUCAAACUCAAACUUGGAUUCAAUCUUGGUCUCAGUCUCAGCCUCGGCCUCGGUCUUGGUCCUGGUCCCGGUUUCAGUCUUGGUUGCAGUCUCGACCUCAGACUCCAUUUUGGGUCCUUCUCGGACUCCAUCUCAGAUUCCAUCUCGGGUUCAUCUCAGACUCCAUCUCGGUGCUCAUGAAUUUGAGACUAGAAUUGACAACCGUAGGAAUCAAAUACAAAUGAGGACACAAGUCCUUGAAAUGGUAACCGGAGCUACAUUUUAUAAAUGUUGGAACAAACCCAAGGAAUUGGGGGUAUGCUCAAAAGAUGAGUCGAUAUUCUCAUCAUAUGGACGAAUAGUCCUAAGGGGCAAAGGUAACCCAUAGAAAAUGGGAAAUAAUCAAAUGUCAGAGCAACAUUUCUAAAAAUAGUCCUUGUGAGUAAGACAUGAAUACAAGAAGAUGUAUUUUAGUGAAUUGACACUUCAAUAGUAGGACCUCAUGGGUUAUCAAAUUAGUAAAGUCCAAAAAGUUGGAUGACUCAAGUAAAGUUCGGGAAUGGUCUUAAGGGAUUGGUAGAAGCAUUUGGAUAGAAGUGUGUUGUGCUCUAUGAAGGAUAAAGAGGAUCAUAAAAUCCAAGUAUGAGAACAAUGUGUAUCUCAUUGUACGCAUUGUACCCUAAUGGGGGAUAAAUUAUUUAUGUUGCGAUAUAGUAAAUCAAUAUUAUAAAAGGAAUGCUCAUUGAAGAAAACCAUCAUUGGGAAUUAUUCGUUAGAGACUUAGUCCUUUGGGCCUUAUUUAAUACCCUCAUAACACCAAAUACCACUUCUUGGUGUUUUAGAAUGUUUGAGUGUCCUUGUGAAGGUUUGCAAUUUGAUCCUGACAAACUUGUAGCCGUUCUAAAGUUCCCUACUCCGAAGUGUGUGAAUGAUGUGUAGUGCUUCUUGGGCAAGGUGCAGUAUCUCGGUCGUUUUGUGGAUCAUCUUUUUGAUCGCAUUGCACCAUUGCGAGCGUUACUGAAGUCAUCAACAUCAUCUUUCAUUUGGUCUUGAGAUUGUGAGCGAGUGUUUGUGGAUCUCAAAGACUCCUUCAGUUUUGGCAUAUCUUGACUACACUAGACCUUUUAUUUUGCGCGUAGAUGCUUCUGACAUUGGUCUUGGAGGUGUGUUAAUGCAAGAGAGCCCGAGUGUGCCUGGUCAGCAUCAUCCCAUUGCAUAUAUAAGCCGUACGUUACAACCAGCAGAGGUGAACUACUCCAUGACAAAGAAGAAGUGUUUAGUGGCAGUUUAGAGUUUCGAGAAACUUCAUGCAUAUCUACAUGGUUCUCAAAUAUUACUUGAAGGUGACCAUGCUGCCGUUACUUCAUUAUUGAAGCGAAAGAACCUGGUUGGUCAUACUGCUCAGUGGGUUUUGAAGCUUCAGAUAUAUGAUUUUGAUGUUGUUCAUCACCCAAGGAGUUCUAUGGCUGAUGCUAAUGCCCUUUCUCAAGCUUCUCUUCCUUCUCCACUCUCUUCUCAUGUUUCUGAUGAGUUUGUUGUUCUAGCAUCUGUGAAUUUUCUAGACGAGGAUUCUAUGCCAUCGACAGUUGCUGUACUUAACGUUCAGUGUCCACAAGGCGCAGAGCAAGGUUUACCUUCUCUUGAUGAAGUUCGCGAGGCUCAAAAGAUUGAGCUAUGGAUUCGAAGGCUUCGAAAUGCGUUUGAAAAUCCUAUAUCACUUACUGAUGGCUUGCCUUUCCAGCAUUUACAUUCUCAAUAUCGCCUUGAAGAUGGCCUUCUUUAUUUUGUGGGGACGGAUCCUGAUGAUCAUUUACGGCUGGUGGUGCCUUCUGUCUUUAUUCCGCGGUUUCCCCAUACUUACCAUGAUUCUCUUGUUUUAGGUGGGCAUAUGGGACAUCAUCGUGUGACCGAGAAACUGCGCAGGUCUUUCUAUUAGCCGGAGAUGCGACGUGAUGUUAUCCGGUAUGUGCGUAGCUGCAUUUGGUGCCAAGCUCGUAAUACUCCCCCUUGUGCUACGGAAGGACAGUUAGAGUCAAUUGCAAUUUCCCGUCCAUUGGAGUUGUUAGUGUUUAAUCUUAUAGGACCUUUUCCACAGUCGACUGUUGGCAAUGAGUAGGUUAUUAUUGCUUCUGACUACUUGACUCAUUGAGUGGAAGUUAGUGCUCUUGUUAGUGCCUUUACAACUGCUGUUGGAUACUUCUUCCUCAAUCGAGUGGUGUUCUAGCAUUCUUGUCCAGAACGGAUUCUUUCAAAUAAUGGUCCUGCUUUUAUGGCUGAGGCAUUUCAUGUUUUGACAUCUCGGUUAGGGAUACGCCACACUUUUCACGAGUGCUUAUCAUCCACAACUCUACACCCCUGUGACAUAGGCAUACUGAAGAGACGGCAAAUAACCAUCCCAAUCCAAAUGCUGAAAGUUUACAUACUUCGCAAUCAUCCCUUUGAAUGUCCUAAUGAGCCGUUCGACUGCUGCCGAACACUUAGGCUGUGUACAAGUUGGACAACAAUAGCACUAUAACUCCCAUCAUCGUCCACCUACGGAGUACAAAAUGGAUGAUUUGGUGUUAGUCUGUUUUCCCCAUCUUACAAUAUGUGGUUUAUCUAAGGGGCUCCUUGCAGAGUGGAAAGGACCGUAUCGCGUGUUGCGGCAAGUUGAACCGCAAGUUUAUGAAGUUCGGCAUGACGUCCAACAGGCCAAUCCUCCAGAAAUUGUGCAUGUGCAGUGGUUGAAAUGUUUUAUACAAAGGGAUCAGGAGCAAUUAAUACCAUCUACAGAUCCACCGAUGCCUCCUCCUAACAUUCCUCUAGAUUCCAGCCUGUCUACAAGAAAACCUUGACGGCCUUCUAUUAUUCCGAGAGGAGGGGAUGAUGUGAGGGCUAAAUGUAUGGUUAUGAUGCCGUAUACUAAUAUUAGUGUAGUGGGAUUUUGGUAGCCAUUGGAUUGGUUUCAAUCCGGACCACUCGCUCCUAUAUAUAAGCUAGGGUUUUUGGGCUAAUUGAUAUGCACAUUUUCUGUAUUCCCUUUCCAUAUUCCAAGCACUCACAAAUCCAUAUAGUUUGCUAUUUAUUAAUUAUUCUUUUUCAAUUUUUAGUUAAUUAGAUAAGUUUUUUAAAAAAUUGAUAGUUCACCCUAUUUUUAAACUAUUGUAACAGACUUUCAACCCAGGCAACUAUAUAAUUUAUAAUUCUCAUUUUUAGGAUAAAUAUCACAAUUUAACAAGUUUAAAAAUUAACUAGAAUAACUAUAUGUCACACCAGUGUUGCUAGAAUCCAGAUACUAAACAUUUGAUCUCAAAUAACUAUAACUUAUUUUUAUUCUCUUCCACUGGCAUAAACUUUAGCCUUAGAUGACUAUUGUUAACCUUAGAUAAACAUUGAUAACUACCUCUACUUUUGAUAAAACUGAUUGUAAUACAAACUCAUUGGUACAAGUUUCUCACAUGAAGAAUUUAAGAUACAUGGUGAAGACAUUUAGCAUCUCUAUACAUGUCAAAGCCAUAAACCUCCAUAGCAUAGAAUUAAACACGGGUUGAAAUGUUGAGAAUCUCAUUCUAGCAGUCUCCACGUGCUGAUUCUAUAAAUUGGCUUAGUGCAAUAUUAAACUCUUUUCACUUGGUUGCAUGCUUGCCCACAGGCAUUCUAACUCCUCAACUUCUCAUUGCAAUUUGAAGGGCAAUAUCAUCAUAAACUAGUCUGUGAUUGGAGCUUCCAUGGCCUGCCAUUCUCUCAAAAGCCGAGGAUCAAGGAUAUCUUGAUUGGACCCAAAUAGCUCAAUGGAGAUAAUCUUGUUUACCUUGGCAGGAUGAUCUCCAUCGUCUGCUUGUCUUUCAAGAGUUCAAUGCUGCGGUGUUUCAGCCUCUUCGAAUAACUGUUGGCUCGAGAGCCAUGCAUCGGGUCUUGGCAUAGGAUAUGGAUCCUGAGAUGGAUGAGGACCGAAGCGCGAUGCUUCCCACCAUAGCCCAGCUCCACUCCAUUCCCACCAUAGCCCAGCUCACUGGAGUGGAGACGAUGUUGUGCCCGGGCAGGACGGCCAGAAUUAAAUAGAUGCUCUCAUCAUGCAGCGAGUCUUUGGAGAGGCUCAUCAAGUCAUGCAAGACUGCGAGCAAUGCAAAGGUGAUCCACAACCAAAUCCUUUGCACCCACCAAAACCUCACCACCUUUGUGUGCAAUCUGCUGCUGGAGAUGCACUCAAAAUGCGGGAGCAUCUCUCUCGCCCGCCACGUCUUCGACAACCUCUGCCCGCCCUCUUGCAGAGAUUCCUUCACCUGGGUUCUCAUGCUCGUAGCAUAUGCCCGAGCCGGGCAUCUUACCCAGGCCCGCGGCAUCUUCGAGUCCAUGCCCUCGCGCAACCGCGUCGCCUGGAACGCAAUGCUCGCCGCGUACGCUGCCACCGGGGACCUCGAUCGCGCGCUGGAGAUCUUCGAUUCGUCGCCGCAGCACGACGUGAUCGCCUGGACGUCGCUCCUGUCGGCGUUUGCACUGGCCGGAGAUCUUGCCCACGCGCGCCGCCUCAUUGACGCCAUGCCCGAGUGGAACCUUGUGUCAUGGAACGCGAUGCUGUGCGCGCAAUCGCAAUGCCACCAGGUGGAGGGCGCCUGGGAUGUGUUUGAGCGGAUGGAAGAGCGCAACAUCAUCUCGUGGAACGCGCUGCUAUCUGCAUAUGCCCUCUCGGGGCAUAUGGACGAAGCAGCGUAUCUUUUCGAAGCGAUGCCGGAAAGGGAUCUGGCUUCGUGGACGACGAUGAUUGCUGGAUCUGCGCAGGCAGGGAAGAUCGAGGACUCGAGAGAACGUUUUGAUGGCAUGCCGGAGAGGGACGUCGUUGCAUGGAACGCUAUGCUUGCGGCACUUGCCCAAAAUGGGCAUCUUGUAAAGGCGCUAGAGUUCUUAGAAAUAAUGCCGGUGUGGAGCCUGGCUGGCUGGAAUUCUCUUCUCGCCGCUUGCGCGCAAGAGAAGGAGUUUGAUCGAGCACAGAAGUUACUAGUGAGAUUACCCGAACUGGAUCUUGUGGCCUGGAAUUCGAUGCUUGCGGUGAAUGCCCUUUCUGGGCAUCUGGACGAGGCGCUGUUGGCUAUGGAAGCCUUAUCUAUGCCUGUUGAUGUGAAGUCAUGGAACGCAGUGCUGUAUGGCUAUGCCCAGAGCGGGCAUCUCGACAAAGCCACCAGCUUGUUCCACGCAAGAAUGCCUCACAGGGACGUGGUUUCCUUCACUGCAAUGCUCUCGGCCUAUGCAAGGAGUGGUUAUAUCGACGAAGCAAAAGCUCUGUUCGAUUCGAUGCCGGAGAGGACUCUUGUGUCAUGGAACGCGCUGCUCGGCGGAUUUGUCCACAAUGGUCUGUACGCUCGAGCUCACAGCUUCUUCCAGACCAUGCCCGAGUGUGACGUUGUAUCUUGGACUGGGGCCUUGAACUCGAUUACCCCAACUAUGUCGUACAAAACUUCGCUGGAUCACUUCCAAAGGAUGCUGCUUCAAGGAGUUCUUCCGGAUGAUGUCUGCUUUGUGUCGAUACUGGUCGGAUUCAACCAUGGCGGUAGCGUCCGCACCGCUUUGAGCUGCUUCGCGUCCAUGGCUGUCGACUUUGGCAUUGAUCCGACGAAGCAGCUGUAUGGAAGCCUGAUUGAUCUGCUUGGUCGGGCGGGAUAUCUGAAGGAAGCCGAGGAAGUCAUCGCCAGCAUGCCGUUUAAGCCGGGAGACGUCGACUGGCAAUCGCUCCUGAGCGCUUGUAAGAGUUACAGUGAUGGUCGAAGUGGAAGCCGAGCAGCAAAGCAAGCUCUAGAGUUGAAUCCGCAGGACGACGGAACAUACGUGCUGCUGGCAGCAAUGUCCGAGUGUGGUGCUCACAAUAGUUGAGACGCUCGCACCGGUGGAUCGUUGAAGUUAGCUGUUGUCUCCUUUGUAGAUUUACAACAGGCUGUUUCGGAAGAAGCGAACUCCCUGCUUGAAGAACGUAAAUAUCGAAUGUGGUGUUUAAACAGUGCGAGACGAACCUGUAGUGCAAAUACGACGUCAUCAUGGUCUACUUGCAACUUUGUCUUUCUGAGACGAUCUUCGCGAGCUGUACCGAGGCCAAGAAGACCCUGAAAUGUCGAAGAUUAAACACUAGUUUGUCUUGCCACAUAGCUUAUACCUGGUCGGCAAUUAGUUGACAAAUUCCAGAGAAUUCUUGAGAAGAUACAGGGCGCAUACCAGUUGUUUUACAAAACCCCAGGUACUGCUUAUUCAGCUGCAAAGCUUCCCGUAAGUCCACUCAUCAAUUUUGACACUUGAAGAACGCCUACCUCGCCUAAUGGCGCGUCCCUCUUUCUCUUCCGGAAGAGAUUAGCGGCACUACAUAAGACCAUCUGUACAUCGAUAACGAAAUGAGCAGAUAACGCAUGACAAACACUGGUAUUACCUGCGAAUGUUUUGGCAAAGCUUGAAUAGUUUCAAUGACAGGAGAACGGAAAACUUUGGCCAACGCCCUUGCCAUGUGAUCAACUUGCACAAACUGAUCCCUUUGCAAGCACGUCGCUUCAGGCUCUGUAGAUUUGCUUUUGUUCUCGGCUUCAAAAAGAUCAAGAGCAGUCCUGCAACGCACCAAAGUUAAGAAUCAUAAGAAGUCACAGGGAAUUACCAACCUGCAAGCGUACAAGGCUUUUCUCAUGUCCCCGGAUGCAGCAGAUACCCUCUGUUCCAUUGAAAGAUUAGAACAUCAGCUAAGGUGGUUGCAAUAACUUACUCUGGCGCACAGCUCCAAGGCUGCAGGAUGAAACGUAGCCACCGAUAGAGACUGGAAAAGGCAAUGUUAAUACUCAAAGACAAGAUGUGUUGCCGUCUUCUACCGAUAAUCUUUGAAGCAAGACAGCGAAAAUUUGGUCUUUGGUAUACGCAGGAAAUGUGAUGACCUCCGGGUUACCUGCAAUACGAUCGACAAUAAGAUACAAACAGAAUAAACAUCAGCGCAAGCCUUACAGCUGAAAGUUCUCAGCCUUGGUAGAAAUCUUUCAGUUAAAUCGAUGGCGUUAGCAAUUCCUUUGACAAGAAAAGAGCAUCAGCACACAAGAACGCGUAGAAAACAGCUCACCUAUUAGAAUGCAGCUGCUGUCUUUCAAAACGGAUAAUUGGAACAGCUCAUACAACACAGUUUGUUCUCUGGUUAUGAGAUAGUCCAUUUCAUCGAUGAUUAAAAGCCUGGCAAGAAAAGCUUAGCGAUUCCAAAAAGUGGCAAGGAAAACAAAAACAUACUGCAUUUUCUUCGCACCCCUGUUGAACGAUAGUAACUUCUUAAGUUGUUGGUACCCGACGCUUCGAUCAUCGUCAGCGCCUGGUUGUAAGGAGUGAUAAAUCUGCGAAACAAACGAGCAUUCCAUCGUCCAAGCACAAAGGAAAAAAAGUUCAUACCCUGGAGUAGAUCUGUGUAGCAUCUGUGAGCGUUGUGCAAUUGACAGAAGCCACAUCCGGUGGUAAAAUCCCUGCCUGUAUAGAAAAACAAAGAUGAAACUCAAGUGUCUAGCUAUUUGGGAUUUUACCUCGACCGCCCACUGUGACAAGAGGCCUUUUAGCUUCUCCAUUGCCAGCGAUUUCCCAGUUCCAGGACACCCACACACGUAGAGACUGCCUGGCCUUCUCUCUAGCAGGCAAUCCUUGGAGAACUUGAUUAUCCUAUCGAUCUGCUCGCUCCGGCACAGAAUAGCCUCAGGAACAGCAGACAAAUGCAAUGCCGUCUUGGCCGCGAGGAUGUGAGCCGAGAAAUCCAUGGAGCGAUCAAUCAAGAAUGCCAAACCCUGCCCUAGAUCCCCCGCGCAAUCUACAUGUUCCCUCCAAAAAUCCGCGCCAAAAUAUAGCCGUUUGAAAAAAUUCCAUGAACUUUAGGGUUCAUGGAGCUCAUUGGCAAGCGCGAAGGAGACCCUGCGAUCGCGGCUUUCUUGGGCAAUUUGGGGGCGAGCGAUGGAGGAAUUCCACUGCCCAGCCGGCGCGCAUUCCCAGCUCUCAAAUCGCGGCCGGCGUGUGAGUAUCACAACUACGAAGGUCUGGGCGUGUCGCUGUGCUUCGAGGAGUCAGCCCUAGAGGCCGUCCAUGUGUACAAUGGGACGCACGGCUACUCCCAAUUCAUGGGCGAUCUUCCUCACGGGCUCAGGUAAGCGUAAAUUCCUCUCAGUCGAUCAGUCGAUCAUUCGAUUCGAUUCCACUUCAGGAUUGGAAUGACGGGCCGAGAGAUUGUGGAGCUGCUAGGCGAGCCCGACGGCAAGGCCGGAGGAGGACGAGGUGGCGGCCCCAUCUCCAUAGCUUACAAGGAAAGAGGUUUGCACAUCAAUUUCCUGGGAUCCAGCUGGGAGAACAGCGAUAGCGCGAUCGACUCGGUGACCAUCCACGCGCCUCAACCUCAAACCAUGGCCAUCGAGGAUCACUGAGGGAGGUUUUUCGUUUUGUUUCUAUCGGGUCUUAAAAUCUUUGAUAUGGUCUGAUUGGCAAGGAAAACCAUUCCGAUUCACAUCGAUUUGGAUAGUCAUUCAAGAAUGGCCUCAGGCGAAAGAUGGUGAUUUUGAGUUGUUCCUCACGGGAAACAUCAGAUCUCUUUGCUGAGAGAAGCUUGCAUCAUCGGCCAAGAAAAAAAAAACUCACAAACAAGAACAAUGGAGUUGUCAGCUGGUAGUGCAUGUAAAAUGAUCCUCACUGAGAAGCUCAGAACAGGUCUAUGAACUUUGAUCAUCCUCCAACUCCAUCCAGAAGCUCCUAAGAAAAUCGAAACUGGGAAUCAGACUGACGUGCAAAUCGAUAUGAGAUUUUUUCCGCAGUAGAAGUCAGAAAUGGCGAAAGAUCAUCAUCACAUUCCCAAAGAAAUCCAGAGAUCAGACGAAACAAAAUCGUGUCAAUCCUCACAGAAAGUAGGACUGGGGCGACAUUCCAGUCAUCAUCUCUCCUCGAGCAACAAGCAAACCCUAGGUUUUCUGUGGCCGCAAAAGCCCUAAAUAAGUGCCCUAACAGGACGCCAACGGUGGGGAUUGCGCUUGAAUCCGACGGACAGGAUUUGGAUUUACAGGAGAGAUACUAUUAUUAUUCCGUUUUAAACUUAAACUCGGGAAUGACAAUGGCGUCGAGCCAGUUGGAGAGAUUGACGCUCACAACGCACUUUGCGCCCCAGAGUUUGUCCUUCCUCGUCGACUCCGGCUCUUUCACCUCCUCGUAUCUCUCGAGCUGGUUUAGCUGCUCGUACAAUCCAAUGCACCGCUCGCGCGUCUCCAGCACCGAGAUCUGUGCUGCUCGGCCGCGGAGGCAGCGCUGGAACAACACGAUCGCCGUGAGCCUCUCCAGCUUGACCACCAGAGUUGGAUCACAUCUGGGUGUCAAAACUCUCCGGUGCUUUCCCUGGAGCGAUCGAGUAUGAGACUGUUUCUCUAGAACGUAAAAAACAAAAGAGAAAGACUUACAACUUGGACGGAGUAGUGUCUUUGGCGUGGAACCGCUCGCGCGAUCGAUCUUCCCUUGGUGGAUCGAGUCGCGCGUCGCGCGUAGGCAUCGGUCAUUGCGAUGAAAUCGCCCUGGAGCCACUCCUCCACGUUCACCUUGAUUUUCAGGCGUGGCUCAAGCUCCGCAAGCUCUGCAAGGGAGCUGUUGUAUUUCAAUCACAAACAAGCCCGGCAGGGAGAGAAACCACAUAAACAAAAGAGAAAACCUUGCGGCAAUCGUGGAGAGCACCUUUGAGUAGCAAGUUCUUAAAGGGCUCCAUGAAAUCUCGCUGCUCGGUCUGCAAGAAGAGAAAGUUACUUGAGAGUUUGGGGAGAAAAUGAUGAUCAAACUUACGAGCUCCUCGAGGCUUGGUAUGUGCCAUUCCUUCUCAACUCUGUUGGGGAAAACCAUGGGAUUCAUCCGGACUGGAACAAUUUCUUUGUCUCUCGCAAAGAGCUCUCGAUCCCCGUCCGCUGCUUGUUCCCUGUGGGGUCUUCUUCGCAUUCCAUAUCUCUCUUCGAAAGAACACACCGAGUUAAGAAAAUGAGAAGAAAAAAAAUUCAAUCGCUAUACCUUCAAAGACCCACGGCUCGAUGUUGACAAACAUCCAAGACGGGGGCUGGAUGAGAUCGAAGGCUGCCGUUUGCGUCUCAUUCUCCCUCAAAUCGGUCUGCGCCUCAGCGGCUCGAAUCUCCUCCUCCAUUCCUCCCCAACGCAAGCUACCGAUCGAAACUACGAGAGAAAUGUACCGCGAAAGCAAUGGCUCCGUCCCGCUAGGCUGCCGAUCGACCGCGCCCUGUUCUAUGCCCCCAUCACGAUUCGCGAUUUAGGGCUUUCAGAUCCCAGGACUAUGCGAUACGGGCCUCCACUUGGCACGUCCGACGUGGCGAGGUGACGAGGCCGGCUUUUGAAUUUGAAUUCAAAAUGGCGCUUGGAAAGGGUGGGAAAGAGCGCGAUGACGAGGAAUGUGGGCAUAGCGAUCGAUUUGUCGCCCACCAGCAGGUACGCGCUUCGUUGGGCGCUCGAGCACUUCGCGCGCGAUGGCGAUCACAUCUUCGUCCUCGUCGUCCGCAAGAAAGAGGGCGAGGACACCGCCCUCUUCGAGAAAGCCGGCACUCGUAAGUGGCAACGAUCGAUCUUAAGAUGUUCUCAGACUCGGUUUGCCUGGAGGAUUGAUCCACAGCCUUGAUCCCAAUGCACGACUACGACGAGCACGUCUUGGACAAGUAUGGCAUCCAGCCCGAUCCUGAGGUGUUUGCAACGAUUAGAGAGCACCGAGAGAAGAAAAAAGUAAACUUUCUUACGCGUUUUCCUUUUUGUUCUUGUCGAUCUCAACGUCGAGCUCCUGGCUCCAGUUUGCUGUGGACGGUAAGGUCUACUACGGCGAUGCUCGAGAGAAGAUCAUCGAGGCUGUUGGAGAUCUUAAGUUGGACCUGCUUGUGCUUGGAAGUAGAGGCCUUGGGACUGUUAAAAGGUACCGCAAAGCUUCUUAUUUCUCGACUUGGAAAAAACUCGUUUCAUUUGUUGCCAAUCCACAGGGCGCUGCUGGGAAGCGUCAGUAACUACGUAAUCAACAACGCACCUUGCCCAGUCACAGUAGUGAAGCUCCCGGAAUCCCAAUCAAACUCGUGAGAAGCUCGAACAGAUGCUUUAAGAUGUAGGCGGUUUCUUCUUGUCCAGUAGAUCCUCGAAGUUUUUGGGAUCCAGCGUUCCGCUGAGAAGAGCGAAGAGCAAGCGUUUGUGGUAGAGAUGCCCGUGAAUUAAAUUCAAGAUGAACUGGCGAUGCCCCAUUACUGCGACAAUGAAAUCGGCUAGAUCGAUCAAGAUUAGAAAUUUAAGAGCAUACCAGGCAGAGGUACGAACACAUUAGUCGCCAUUCGAGAAAGGUCGGUCGGGGUGGCAUUUAGAAAUGGUGGAUCAAUCUUACUGCAACAUACAACUCCCACGAUCAGAUUAUCGAAGUUGCCACAAUGAACAAGCCGGCUACCUUACUCGAACACGUAAAUUCUGUUCCAGGAAGUGUCAUUAGUGUGAUGAAAGACAAAACAGGGAGAUUCAAGCUCAUGUACCUCGCGGUGGCCCCAGAAGUUCAUUGUGCUGAUCUCUACAUAUUCUGGAAGAGGUGGAACAAGCGAGAGCUCGCCAAUGUAUCUGCAGUGAAAAGGUUGAAGUUAGCAAAUCUGUUUGAUCCAGUGUGAUCCUCACCUACGGGAAUAGUACCAGAGAGCGAGCGUUGCUCCAACAGCUCCAAAAGUGACGCCAAGAGAUGCUGCUACAGCCUCGGCAGACAAUGUCCCCUUGGAAAACAAAGACAAACCUAUAACACGAGAAGAGCAAAGAAGAAACGAGAAAGCAUCCUUACCUCUUUCACGUACUUUGCUAAUGGAGCUGCUAUGGCUGCAAAUCCCGCCAGUUGAAUUACCUUGAGCCUAGAACAAAAAAAAUCCUUUUUCUGCGCCAAUUCCUCCGAGAAAUCUAUGAUCCAAACCUCACGACAAGCCGCAGCGGUCGCAUCCAGCGCGCUUGGUACAACACCACUUUCGCGGGAGCCUGAUCUCUAAAACCCUGGGGACUCACAUUCUUGUUAUGCAGCAGCUUCGCCGGAUCAUCAUCAGGGAUCGCCGUGGACGCCGCCGCCGCUGGUGACGAUGCCGAAAAGCGCAGCGGCGUUCGCGAUUGCGCGGUAGCAGCGGCGCAUCGCCGAAGCAAUGGCCGCAGUGCCGCCAUGGCCGUAGAAAAUACCGAAAUUAGGGCUCCUGGCAAGCUUUCCCGCCAAAAGGUUUAGGGCGUUUCGAAAUUCUGCAGCGCCAUGGCUGAUCUGGAGCUGCUUCUAUCGCUUCGGGACGAAUGCGGCGAAGAGAAGGACAGCACAGGUAUGAUUUCUAUGAAUGGAUCGAGCCGACAUUGCGGCAUUGUGAUAGAAAUCAAGGAUCGAUCGAACAGCAGUGAGAUUUUGCCGCGCCCUUCGACAGGCUAUUGCUCCGAUGAAGAGGAAAGGCCCAAGUCCGUGCUAAACAUGUCCAUUUUCAAGGAUGUGCUGAAAAGCAGUGGAAGUUUAGCGAAAUGCCCGCCGGCCUCGGUCGAGAAAUCAAAGGGAGUUUCUGUGCAAAGCUUCGGAUCAAACGGCAGUACACCAGAUCUCGAAGUUCACUCUGGUCUUCGCAUCAGGUAGAGUUUCUUUUGUUUUUCUUACAUAUGUUUUGUUCAUACAGAUAAGAUGUUCUGCUUUACCCACGAAUUUUUCUCUGGAUCGCAGGAACAGAUGUCUUAGCCGUGAGAUGCUAACUACAAAGCUCAUGGAGCUGCGAUUCGUGAAGCUUGAAGCUCUCAAGUAGGCAUUCUUUCGUUCUAUUUCCUUGCCUCCCUUUACAGAGAAUUUAUCUUUCGUCAGGCAUGCAGUCAUUGGCGAUGGUGUUAGAGGUUCUUGGGCAACAAUUGCCGUUCUGUCAGACAAGGGCCAACCCCGAGUGUCAUCGAACUCGAAAAACUAUGUCAUUUGGAAGCUGUCUUGCCUGAACGAGUCUACCGUUUCCUUGUUUUUGUUUGGGGAUGCUUAUAAAGAACACUGGAAAGAGGCGGUCGGUAGUGUUAUUGCGGUUUUCGAUGCUAAAGUUCGUCACGAUGACAAGGUAUGUCUCAAUGUGUUUUUUAGCCUUCCUGUUCUGACUUUGAUUUCCCAGAAAGGUGAUUUUAGCUUGAGCGUUGCUGAUGUGAAUCAAUUGACAGUUGUGGGGACGUCACUGGAUUUUGCCAUUUGUAACGGGAAGCGCAAAGAUGGAGCUCCUUGCUCAGUACCGGUUAACAGGUGAGCUUAUAUCUCUCUGAAGUGUUGAUCUUCUAGAACUUAUGUUGCAGGAAAGAGGGUGCAUACUGUAAAUUUCACGCUCUCGUAAGAACACUGAAAUCUUUUUGGUGGUGUACUAACUGAUUUACAGGCAGCACGCAAAAACUUGAGAAGUAAACGGCCAGAGCUAAAUGGCGGGUAAUGUGCUGGAUAUGUAUUUCUCUUGCCGCUUUUCAUGUGUUUAAAUACUAACUCUUUCGCAGAAACCUUGCUACUGGAUUGACCGGGUCGAUGAGAAACCAGAAUCGCGGAAUGCAGUCCCUCAAGCACACUAUAGAGAAAUCACCGGAGCAGCCAUUGAAGCGAGUAAAGCAUCGGUCGUCUUUAGAGCUUUCUAAGAUGCUGAGGUACUCUAUGUUUGCUACAGACGCCGGCAUUCUCAUUACCCAUAUUCUUGUUUACAGCAAUGGCGACAAAAUGACGACACGAACGUCGUCGCAAGGUUUAAGAUUUCUGGCUAGAAUGACAGGUAACAACGGUAGCGUUCUCUUUCUAACAAUGAGAGUAACUGUGCACUGUGAUUUUCAGAAGACAAAGAACUCUCCAGUUCCAACCAGAAGAAGAAAGCGGCAGUAUCAGAUCGCAAGCCUUCCGACAAGAAGCAAGUGGAAGUUUCAAACAGGAGACCUUGCAGGAAGGUCUCCUGUUUGAAACAGGAGAGAGAUAGUGUAUCGAGGUAAUGCACUUUUCCUCCCUGGCUCCAUCCAUUUCUCACUGGAUUGUCUACUGCAGGCCUCCCUUGAAAGAGCUAUCCAACUCGAGCAAAGAUCGAGCACUCGAGAACGAGGUCGUGGAAAUCGACUUGGAAGUGGAAGAGGAUACGGACAAUGCCAUGGUAAUUGUCACAAAACUCUACCUCACGUUUGUUUGGAUUGACUUUCACCAGGCCCAGGCGAUGUCGAUAUUUAAAUCAUAAUCCCAUGCAUAUCUCGAGAGGUAAAAAUCACUCGCUUGCGUCGUUGGAUUGCUUCAGCAUUUUGUCGCAGGCCACUAAGAACCGAUGAUCCAAAGCUUGCGAGCCACAAGAAAAUCGCGUGGAUAUUUUUCUUCAUACGAAACAUCCGCCAGGAAGAAGAAAUUCUAGCGGUCGCAAUACUAGCGGCCGGAAAGCGCCUUAUCUAAGAGGGGAGGCUCUGCCACGCGUCAUUCUUUUAUUCGCGGCCAGGAGCCCACGUCAUCGCGAUUAGUGUAAACCCCCAUUUUGACUUUAAGCUAAUGAUGCUCUACUAGCUAGUAGCCAUUUCUCUGCGGCAGUUCUUCCCUAGCCGCCGCGCUCCUCUCUCCGCCUCGAUCGAUCCGUCCACCAUGGCCGCCACGGCAGCCGCCGCCUCAUCGCAGCUCAUCUCGCCCGCGGCGUCGCUCGGAUCGGCGUCGUCCUCGUCGAGCUCGUCGAGCAAUCGCGCCGGAUUCAGGUCUUUCAGGCUCCAGUCCUUCAGCGGCCUCGUCGCCGGGCGCAGGGAUGUGCGCAAGCUGGGCGCAUUGGAUCAGCACCAGGAUUUCGUUGCGGCCGUGGCAUCCCUGGUGAGCAGAGGCCAUGGGCGGGGCAGCCGCGGCGUGGUGUGCAUGGCCAAGAAGAGCGUCGGCGAUCUCAAGGAGGCGGAUUUAAAAGGCAAGCGCGUCUUCGUGAGGGCCGAUCUCAACGUCCCCUUGGAUGGCGAUCUCAAGAUCACCGACGAUACGAGGAUUCGUGCCGCCGUGCCGACGAUCAAGUAUCUCAUCAGCAAUGGAGCAAAGGUCAUCCUCUCGAGCCAUCUGGUAAGUUUUUUCUUCUAGUUUCGAUAGAUGGAAAGAAUUUCUCGAAGCUUUUCUCAUCCUUGCUUUUCUCUCUUAUAGGGACGUCCGAAAGGUGUUACUGACAAGUAUCGGCUUACUCCUCUUGUUCCAAGGCUCUCAGAGCUUCUCGGCAUUAAGGCAAGCUUGUUUUCUCAAGUGUUUUUAUUGAAUGAGCUCUUUUUUGUUUCUUCAGGUCGAGAAAGCCGACGAUUCGAUUGGUCCGGAAGUUGAGAAGAAGGUUGCUGCUUUGCCCGACGGUGGGGUGCUGCUUCUCGAGAAUGUAAGAUUCUAUCCCGAGGAGGAGAAGAAUGUCCCCGAGCACGCGCAGAAGCUGGCAGCACUGGCUGAUUUGUACGUGAACGAUGCUUUUGGUACCGCUCACAGAGCUCAUGCUUCUACCGAGGGCGUGACCAAGUUCCUCAAGCCCUCCGUGGCUGGAUUCCUCUUGCAAAAGGUAGAUUUUCUUUUUUCUUUUUCCCAAUGCUUCCCUGAGUUGACGACGAAUUUGCCAGGAACUCGACUACCUCGAUGGAGCCGUGUCGAAUCCUAAAAGACCAUUUGCUGCCAUCGUUGGAGGCUCCAAGGUGUCGUCCAAGAUUGGAGUGAUUGAAUCCCUGUUGGAGAAAUGCAACAUCUUGUUACUCGGAGGAGGAAUGAUCUUCACCUUCUUCAAAGCGCAGGGCCUCUCUGUGGGAUCCUCACUCGUUGAGGAGGAUAAGAUCGACCUGGCGAAAUCCCUGAUGAAGACGGCCAAGGACAAAGGUGUCUCCUUGCUCCUUCCCACAGACGUGGUGGUGGCUGACAAGUUCGCAGCAGACGCGAACAGCAAGGUAGAGUCUCCUGGCACCAAUUUUCCAACGUCCGACGAAAUUUUCUCUCUUGUUCUUCCACAGAUCGUACCAUCGACAGCAAUCCCCGAUGGCUGGAUGGGUCUCGACAUCGGCCCCGACUCUGUGAAGACGUUCAACGAGGCAUUGGACACCACCAAGACCGUGAUCUGGAACGGGCCCAUGGGAGUGUUCGAGUUUGACAAGUUCGCGGUUGGCACGGAGGUAAAAGAACGCUUUUGCGAACUUCCAACGAUCUAAGAACUUUUGCCUUGUUUUUCGCAGGCUGUUGCGAAGAAGCUGGCGGAGCUUAGCGGCAAAGGUGUGACUACAAUCAUCGGCGGAGGUGAUUCCGUGGCGGCCGUGGAGAAAGUCGGGGUCGCGGAUAAGAUGAGCCACAUAUCAACCGGGGGUGGUGCUAGUUUGGAGCUGCUCGAAGGCAAAGUUCUUCCUGGCGUCGCUGCUCUUGACGAGGCGGUAGCGGCAGUCACGGUGUAGGAGGUAAUGCUCUACCGUUUCUACAUUUUUCUCCUCUCUUUGUUUUGGCUCCAAUAAGCUGGGCAACUGUAACUUAUCUUAACUCGGCAGCAGCGAUGAUCUUGAGCUCUCAGCGCCAGCAUCUAAAAAUCCACAAGAAGAAAAUUCUUGGAACUUGCCGAUUCUUCUUGGUUCUAUCCUAAAAACCCAAGCAAAACCUAUAAGAGAAAUUAUGUGAAUGGCUUUGCUUACCUUCAUGGAGGGCAAACCUUUGCAAAGGAAGUGCCAUUGUUUAUUGUUGUCCAAUAUGUUAAAUUAUUCUAUCACGAUAGAUUCCUGGAUUAGAUUAGUAAUUCGUACUUGAAGAAAGCCAAUAUUUAUAUAUUGUCCAAGCUAUGAAGGACAGCAAUGUCAUUCUUUUGUGCUUUUAAACAUAAUAACAUCAAUUCAGCCAGAGAUCUUUCUA